AUUGAACGCUGGCGGAAUGCUUUACACAUGCAAGUCGAACGAUGAAGUCUAGCUUGCUAGACGGAUUAGUGGCGAACGGGUGAGUAAUAUAUCGGAACGUAUCCAAUAAUGGGGGAUAACUAGUCGAAAGAUUGGCUAAUACCGCAUACGUCCUACGGGAGAAAGCUGGGGAUCGUAAGACCUGGCGUUAAUGGAGCGGCCGAUAUCUGAUUGGCUAGUUGGUGAGGUAAAGGCUCACCAAGGCGACGAUCAGUAGCUGGUCUGAGAGGACGACCAGCCACACUGGAACUGAGACACGGUCCAGACUCCUACGGGAGGCAGCAGUGGGGAAUUUUGGACAAUGGGCGAAAGCCUGAUCCAGCCAUUCCGCGUGAGUGAAGAAGGCCUUCGGGUUGUAAAGCUCUUUCGCAAGGGAAGAACACUUACUUAAUAACACUAAGUGAGGUUGACGGUACCUUGAUAAGAAGCACCGGCUAACUACGUGCCAGCCGCCGCCGUAACAC
rnacentral:rRNA from 1 species